UGACCGCUGGCGGCGUGCCUAAUACAUGCACGUCGAGCGAACAGACGCGGAGCUUGCUCCUCUGACGUUAGCGGCGGACGGGUGAGUAACACGUGGAUAACCUACCUAUAAGACUGGGAUAACUUCGGGAAACCGGAGCUAAUACCGGAUAAUAUAUUGAACCGCAUGGUUCCAUAGUGAAAGACGGUUUUGCUGUCACUUAUAGAUGGAUCCGCGCCGCAUUAGCUAGUUGGUAAGGUAACGGCUUACCAAGGCAACGAUGCGUAGCCGACCUGAGAGGGUGAUCGGCCACACUGGAACUGAGACACGGUCCAGACUCCUACGGGAGGCAGCAGUAGGGAAUCUUCCGCAAUGGGCGAAAGCUUGACGGAGCAACGCCGCGUGAGUGAUGAAGGUCUUCGGAUCGUAAAACUCUGUUAUUAGGGAAGAACAAAUGUGUAAGUAACUAUGCACGUCUUGACGGUACCUAAUCAGAAAGCCACGGCUAACUACGUG
rnacentral:rRNA from 1 species